rnacentral:rRNA from 1 species
GACGAACGCUGGCGGCGUGCUUAACACAUGCAAGUCGAACGCUGAAGCUCAGCUUGCUGGGUGGAUGAGUGGCGAACGGGUGAGUAACACGUGAGUAACCUGCCCUCUUCUUUGGGAUAACGCCCGGAAACGGGUGCUAAUACUGGAUAUUCACUGAUUCUCGCAUGGGGGUUGGUGGAAAGGUUUUUUCUGGUGGGGGAUGGGCUCGCGGCCUAUCAGCUUGUUGGUGGGGUGAUGGCCUACCAAGGCUUUGACGGGUAGCCGGCCUGAGAGGGUGACCGGUCACAUUGGGACUGAGAUACGGCCCAGACUCCUACGGGAGGCAGCAGUGGGGAAUAUUGCACAAUGGGCGAAAGCCUGAUGCAGCGACGCCGCGUGAGGGAUGGAGGCCUUCGGGUUGUAAACCUCUUUCGCUCAUGGUCAAGCCGCAGCCUUGGGUUGUGGCGAGGGUAGUGGGUAAAGAAGCGCCGGCUAACUACGUG